CAAUUACUCCCUUUGAUCCAUAUUAAUUGUCGAAAUAUUACACGUAUCUAUAUGCUUUUUAGGCAUAGAUAUAUCCAUAUUUGGGUAAAUUUGAGACAAUUAAUAUGGAUCAGAGGGAGUAGCCC
rnacentral:pre_miRNA from 1 species